rnacentral:rRNA from 1 species
GGAGGGUGCGAGCGUUGUUCGGAAUUACUGGGCGUAAAGCGCGUGUAGGCGGCCUUGCAAGUCAGGCGUGAAAGCCCUCGGCUUAACCGGGGAAGUGCGUCUGAAACUGCUUGGCUUGAGUACGGGAGAGGGAGGCGGAAUUCCCAGUGUAGAGGUGAAACUCGUAGAUAUUGGGAGGAACACCGGUGGCGAAAGCGGCCUCCUGGACCGAUACUGACGCUGAGACGCGGAAGCGUGGGGAGCAAACAGGAUUAGAUACCCUGGUAGUCCACGCGGUAAACGAUGGGCACUAGGUGUGGGGGGUAUCCACUCCUCCCGUGCCGAGGCUAACGCAUUAAGUGCCCCGCCUGGGGAGUACGGCCGCAAGGUUA